GACGAACGCUGGCGGCGUGCUUAACACAUGCAAGUCGAACGAAGAGCGAUGGAAGCUUGCUUCUAUCAAUCUUAGUGGCGAACGGGUGAGUAACGCGUAAUCAACCUGCCCUUCAGAGGGGGACAACAGUUGGAAACGACUGCUAGUACCGCAUACGAUCCAAUCUCGGCAUCGAGACUGGAUGAAAGGUGGCCUCUAUUUAUAAGCUAUCACUGAAGGAGGGGAUUGCGUCUGAUUAGCUAGUUGGAGGGGUAACGGCCCACCAAGGCGAUGAUCAGUAGCCGGUCUGAGAGGAUGAACGGCCACAUUGGGACUGAGACACGGCCCAGACUCCUACGGGAGGCAGCAGUGGGGAAUCUUCCGCAAUGGACGAAAGUCUGACGGAGCAACGCCGCGUGAGUGAUGACGGCCUUCGGGUUGUAAAGCUCUGUUAAUCGGGACGAAUGGUUCUUGUGCGAAUAGUGCGAGG
rnacentral:rRNA from 1 species